rnacentral:rRNA from 1 species
AUUGAACGCUGGCGGCAGGCCUAACACAUGCAAGUCGAACGAGUGGCGGACGGGUGAGUAAUGUCUGGGAAACUGCCCGAUGGAGGGGGAUAACUACUGGAAACGGUAGCUAAUACCGCAUACCAUCGGAUGUGCCCCGAUGGGAUUAGCUUGUUGGUGGGGUAACGGCUCACCAAGGCGACGAUCCCUAGCUGGUCUGAGAGGAUGACCAGCCACACGGGAACUUAGACACGGUCCAGACUCCGACGGGAGGCAGCAGUGGGGAAUAUUGCACAAUGGGCGCAAGCCUGAUGCAGCCAUGCCGCGUGUAUGAAGAAGGCCUUCGGGUUGUAAAGUACUUUCAGCUGGGAGGCGUUACCCGCAGAAGAAGCACCGGCUAACUCCGUGCCAGCAGCCGCGGUAAUAC